GAUGAACGCUGGCGGCGUGCCUAAGACAUGCAAGUCGAGUGGGUUUAGACCCACGGCAAACGGGUGAGUAAUAUUUAGGAACGUGCCUCUAGUUGAGCAUAACCUAUCGAAAGGUAGAGUAAUUCUCAAUGUGACCGCAAGGUUAAAGUCGCAAGACGCUAGAGAAGCGGCCUGGACACCAUCAGCUGGUUGGUAAGGUAAUGGCUUACCAAGGCUUUGACGGUUAGGGGUCCCGAGAGGGGAUAACCCCCCACACUGGAACUGAGACACGGUCCAGACUCCUACGGGAGGCAGCAGUUUGGAAUUUUGGACAAUGGGCGAAAGCCUGAUCCAGCGACGCCGCGUGGACGAUGAAGGCCC
rnacentral:rRNA from 1 species